CAGUCGAACGAGUUCUCGUUGAUGAUCGGUGCUUGCACCGAGAUUCAACAUGGAACGAGUGGCGGACGGGUGAGUAACACGUGGGUAACCUGCCCUUAAGUGGGGGAUAACAUUUGGAAACAGAUGCUAAUACCGCAUAGAUCCAAGAACCGCAUGGUUCUUGGCUGAAAGAUGGCGUAAGCUAUCGCUUUUGGAUGGACCCGCGGCGUAUUAGCUAGUUGGUGAGGUAAUGGCUCACCAAGGCGAUGAUACGUAGCCGAACUGAGAGGUUGAUCGGCCACAUUGGGACUGAGACACGGCCCAAACUCCUACGGGAGGCAGCAGUAGGGAAUCUUCCACAAUGGACGCAAGUCUGAUGGAGCAACGCCGCGUGAGUGAAGAAGGCUUUCGGGUCGUAAAACUCUGUUGUUGGAGAAGAAUGGUCGGCAGAGUAACUGUUGUCGGCGUGACGGUAUCCAACCAGAAAGCCACGGCUAACUACGUGCCAGCAGCCGCGGUAAUACGUAGGUGGCAAGCGUUAUCCGGAUUUAUUGGGCGUAAAGCGAGCGCAGGCGGUUUUUUAAGUCUGAUGUGAAAGCCCUCGGCUUAACCGAGGAAGCGCAUCGGAAACUGGGAAACUUGAGUGCAGAAGAGGACAGUGGAACUCCAUGUGUAGCGGUGAAAUGCGUAGAUAUAUGGAAGAACACCAGUGGCGAAGGCGGCUGUCUGGUCUGUAACUGACGCUGAGGCUCGAAAGCAUGGGUAGCGAACAGGAUUAGAUACCCUGGUAGUCCAUGCCGUANACGAUGAAUGCUAGGUGUUGGAGGGUUUCCGCCCUUCAGUGCCGCAGCUAACGCAUUAAGCAUU
rnacentral:rRNA from 1 species